rnacentral:rRNA from 1 species
UACGUAGGGGGCAAGCGUUGUCCGGAUUUAUUGGGCGUAAAGAGCGUGUAGGCGGCUUGGUAGGUCCGCUGUGAAAGUCGGGGGCUCAACCCUCGAAUGCCGGUGGAUACUGUCGGGCUAGAGUGCGGAAGAGGCGAGUGGAAUUCCUGGUGUAGCGGUGAAAUGCGCAGAUAUCAGGAGGAACACCAAUUGCGAAGGCAGCUCACUGGGACGUAACUGACGCUGAGACGCGAAAGCGUGGGGAGCAAACAGG